CCGUGGGGGGCAGCUUACACAUGCAAGUCGAGCGGUAGCACAGGGGAGCUUGCUCCCUGGGUGACGAGCGGCGGACGGGUGAGUAAUGUCUGGGAAACUGCCUGAUGGAGGGGGAUAACUACUGGAAACGGUAGCUAAUACCGCAUAACGUCGCAAGACCAAAGAGGGGGACCUUCGGGCCUCUUGCCAUCAGAUGUGCCCAGAUGGGAUUAGCUAGUAGGUGGGGUAAUGGCUCACCUAGGCGACGAUCCCUAGCUGGUCUGAGAGGAUGACCAGCCACACUGGAACUGAGACACGGUCCAGACUCCUACGGGAGGCAGCAGUGGGGAAUAUUGCACAAUGGGCGCAAGCCUGAUGCAGCCAUGCCGCGUGUGUGAAGAAGGCCUUCGGGUUGUAAAGCACUUUCAGCGAGGAGGAAGGUGGUGAACUUAAUACGUUCAUCAAUUGACGUUACUCGCAGAAGAAGCACCGGCUAACUCCGUGCCAGCAGCCGCGGUAAUACGGAGGGUGCAAGCGUUAAUCGGAAUUACUGGGCGUAAAGCGCACGCAGGCGGUUUGUUAAGUCAGAUGUGAAAUCCCCGGGCUCAACCUGGGAACUGCAUUUGAAACUGGCAAGCUAGAGUCUCGUAGAGGGGGGUAGAAUUCCAGGUGUAGCGGUGAAAUGCGUAGAGAUCUGGAGGAAUACCGGUGGCGAAGGCGGCCCCCUGGACGAAGACUGACGCUCAGGUGCGAAAGCGUGGGGAGCAAACAGGAUUAGAUACCCUGGUAGUCCACGCUGUAAACGAUGUCGAUUUGGAGGUUGUGCCCUUGAGGCGUGGCUUCCGGAGCUAACGCGUUAAAUCGACCGCCUGGGGGAGUACGGCCGCAAGGUUAAAACUCAAAUGAAUUGACGGGGGCCCGCACAAGCGGUGGAGCAUGUGGUUUAAUUCGAUGCAACGCGAAGAACCUUACCUACUCUUGACAUCCAGAGAACUUUCCAGAGAUGGAUUGGUGCCCUUCGGGAACUCUGAGACAGUGCUGCAUGGCUGUCGUCAGCUCGUGUUGUGAAAUGUUGGGUUAAGUCCCGCACGAGCGCAACCCUUAUCCUUUGUUGCCAGCGGUCGCCGGGCACUCAAGGAGACUGCCAGUGAUAACUGAGAAAGGUGGGGAUGACGUCAGUCAUCAUGUCCUUACGAGUAGCUUACCACGUGCUACAUUGCCCGGUAUACAGAGAAAGGCGACCCUCGCCGAGAAGCCAACCGGAAGCU
rnacentral:rRNA from 1 species